AGUUACUUACUUAUGAUAUUUGAUUAGCACCAAACAUUGAGGUAACAGAAUAACAAUAAAGAAGAUAAUAUACAUAUCCAAGAACAAAGACAUACUGAUUGUUGGGCUUUUGGCCCAUUAAAUGUUUGAUCUGCUUGUAAAACCCUUUUAGCCCUUUGGGCUUUAUCGAAAUGAGCUUUGCCGAGAAAGGAAAAAAACAAGAAGAAGAAAGGUGGAAGAUAGAAAAAGACCGGCACCGAAUUAAGAAAUAAAUUUUCGGUCGGAAGCAAACAGCCACUAUAAAAACCAAAGCAUCAACCCUCCUAGUUUUCGUAUCCCACUGAAAGCUCAGAGAGCCCCCGUCCCCGACAUGAGAAGCAAAAUACUCUAUACAGGAUCGGUUAUGCAGGACGUCCUAGCGAGAAAGGAUAAAGAUGAGCUUGAAAGUCUGAUUCGGAUAUUGAGUAAUCGUGGUAUGAGAGGCUGCAGGGGAACAUGGGAGGAAUUUGUAAAAGUAUACUUCCCAACGUUUGGACGAAUCAUUACUUGUCCUUCGUUUUAUUCACGAGAGGGCCUCCUCACUGUCCUAGCUACAUGAUGAACAGGUUAUGACAAAACAUGUACAAUUGUUUGAUAUCUGAGACUUAUCUAUAUAUUGGUUAUGUGUGUGUUAUUAUUACUCUCAAGCUAUUCUUGGCUUGGAAAAUGAGUCGCGGCCAUCAUCUGUCUCACGUAGUUGUCGCAAAGGAACCUUCGGACGGUACUCAUUUGCAGAGGCUGGUUCGCUUGACUCAUACUCGUGAUGACCACCCAUUAGACUACUUUUUGCCCACCCCAGGACAAGGAUUGGGUUGUCACGAGGAGAGGGGAUGGUAAAGUCGGUAGUAAGAUGGUUGCUGUUUGUUGUGAGAUGGUUCUUUGUGAUGAUGGGAGUGAAGCUGUUGUUAGAGUUUCUGCAGUUGACCGUGAUUUAAAGGUGAUUCUUGACGAAUUUGUGAAACCGAAUAAACCAGUUUCUGACUACAGAACCGAUGUUACCGGGCUUACUGCUCAAGAUCUUGAAACUGCUUCUACUCUUUCUGUCGCGGAUUUACAGG